GACGAACGCUGGCGGCGUGCUUAACACAUGCAAGUCGAACGGAAAGGCCCUGCUUUUGUGGGGUGCUCGAGUGGCGAACGGGUGAGUAACACGUGAGUAACCUGCCCUUGACUUUGGGAUAACUUCAGGAAACUGUGGCUAAUACCGGAUAGGAGCUCCUGCUGCAUGGUGGGGGUUGGAAAGUUUCGGCGGUUGGGGAUGGACUCGCGGCUUAUCAGCUUGUUGGUGGGGUAGUGGCUUACCAAGGCUUUGACGGGUAGCCGGCCUGAGAGGGUGACCGGCCACAUUGGGACUGAGAUAAGGCCAAGACUCCUACGGGAGGAAGCAGUGGGGAAUAUUGCACAAUGGGCGGAAGACUGAUGCAGCAACGCCGCGUGCGGGAUGACGGCCUUCGGGUUGUAAACCGCUUUCGCCUGUGACGAAGCGUGAGUGACGGUAAUGGGUAAAGAAGCACCGGCUAACUACGUG
rnacentral:rRNA from 1 species